rnacentral:lncRNA from 1 species
AUUAAGGUAGCAUUGAAAAGCCUAAGGGAAUAAGACAAUGCAUAGUCAUGAGAAAAAAAAUAUGAAAUAAUAAUAAUAAUAAUAAAGCGGGAAAAGUGCAAAAUGCCCCCGUCUAGCAAAAACAAGCAUAAGUAUUCCAUGUUGACCCUUGGACUUUGGUGAUUGUUUAAUUUUAGUUGAAUCUAGUUUAUUUGAUGAGUUUUUGAGUUGAAACUGUAUGAUGCCUAUUAAGAACUUUAUUAUCUUUCCUAUUCUGCUGUUCGUUAGUUAGCAUGAUUGUUGAACACACAUUCACAAUAUCAGUAAUAACAGAUUUAGAUUCAUUGAUUGUUGGGAUAUUAUUGAUCUGCUUUAUCAUGAUGCAUUAUCAUGUUUUUGUGAUUUUUCUAAGGCCUAUGGAUAUACGUGAGCUAUUAGAUUACUGGGAUUAAGUUUGUUUAGUUAGUUUGCAUUUGCAUGAGAGUUAGUUUUUGUAUUAUUUUGUGUUGUUAUGUUUUGUUGCCUGAGGACAUGCAACAAUUUAAGUUUGGGGUAUUUGAUGAUUGGGUUAUAUACCCAUGAAUCGGAUACUUUUGGGUUUAAAUUAUUGCAUUCUCAAGGUAUUUAGGUUCAUUUUUACUGUGUUUAUGUUUUGAUUUGAAGAUUUGGGAGUUUUGGGAGGUUUGGGAGCAUUUGGGCUAAAAAUGUUUAUGAG